UACGGAGGGAGCUAGCGUUGUUCGGAAUUACUGGGCGUAAAGCGCGCGUAGGCGGCUUUGUAAGUUAGAGGGGAAAGCCCGGAGCUCAACUCCGGAACUGCCUUUAAGACUGCAUCGCUUGAAUCCAGGAGAGGUGAGUGGAAUUCCGAGUGUAGAGGUGAAAUUCGUAGAUAUUCGGAAGAACACCAGUGGCGAAGGCGGCUCACUGGACUGGUAUUGACACUGAGGUGCGAAAGCGUGGGGAGCAAACAGG
rnacentral:rRNA from 1 species